rnacentral:misc_RNA from 1 species
UUUUUUUGAUUCUUAGUCUCGUUGGUGACAGCGGAGGGAUCAUUACUGAGUUUACGCUCUAUAACCCUUUGUGAACAUACCUAUAACUGUUGCUUCGGCGGGUAGGGUCUCCGUGACCCUCCCGGCCUCCCGCCCCCGGGCGGGUCGGCGCCCGCCGGAGGAUAACCAAACUCUGAUUUAACGACGUUUCUUCUGAGUGGUACAAGCAAAUAAUCAAAACUUUUAACAACGGAUCUCUUGGUUCUGGCAUCGAUGAAGAACGCAGCGAAAUGCGAUAAGUAAUGUGAAUUGCAGAAUUCAGUGAAUCAUCGAAUCUUUGAACGCACAUUGCGCCCGCCAGCAUUCUGGCGGGCAUGCCUGUUCGAGCGUCAUUUCAACCCUCAAGCUCUGCUUGGUGUUGGGGCCCUACAGCUGAUGUAGGCCCUCAAAGGUAGUGGCGGACCCUCCCGGAGCCUCCUUUGCGUAGUAACUUUACGUCUCGCACUGGGAUCCGGAGGGACUCUUGCCGUAAAACCCCCAAUUCUCCAAAGGUUGACCUCGGAUCAGGUAGGAAUACCCGCUGAACUUAAGCAUAUCAAAAGCGGGGAAGGAAA